rnacentral:rRNA from 1 species
UACGGGGGGGGCAAGCGUUGUUCGGAAUUACUGGGCGUAAAGCGCACGUAGGCGGCUUUGCAAGUUAGAGGUGAAAGCCCGGGGCUCAACUCCGGAAUUGCCUUUAAAACUGCAUCGCUAGAAUUGUGGAGAGGUAAGUGGAAUUCCGAGUGUAGAGGUGAAAUUCGUAGAUAUUCGGAAGAACACCAGUGGCGAAGGCGACUUACUGGACACAUAUUGACGCUGAGGUGCGAAAGCGUGGGGAGCAAACAGG